UACGGGGGGGGCAAGCGGUUGUUCGGAAUUACUGGGCGUAAAGGGCGCGUAGGCGGGUGCUCAAGUCCGUGGUGAAAUCCUCCGGCUCAACCGGAGAACUGCCUCGGAUACUGGGUGCCUCGAGGGUGGUAGGGGUAUGCGGAACUAUCGGUGGAGCGGUGAAAUGCGUUGAUAUCGAUAGGAACUCCGGUGGCGAAGGCGGCAUACUGGACCACCUCUGACGCUGAGGCGCGAAAGCCAGGGGAGCAAACGGG
rnacentral:rRNA from 1 species